AGUGAACGCUGGCGGUAGGCCUAACACAUGCAAGUCGAACGGCAGCGCAAGAGAGCUUGCUCUCUGGGUGGCGAGUGGCGGACGGGUGAGGAAUACAUCGGAAUCUACUUUUUCGUGGGGGAUAACGUAGGGAAACUUACGCUAAUACCGCAUACGACCUACAGGUGAAAGCAGGGGACCUUCGGGCCUUGCGCGAUUGAAUGAGCCGAUGUCGGAUUAGCUAGUUGGCGGGGUAAAGGCCCACCAAGGCGACGAUCCGUAGCUGGUCUGAGAGGAUGAUCAGCCACACUGGAACUGAGACACGGUCCAGACUCCUACGGGAGGCAGCAGUGGGGAAUAUUGGACAAUGGGCGCAAGCCUGAUCCAGCCAUACCGCGUGGGUGAAGAAGGCCUUCGGGUUGUAAAGCCCUUUUGUUGGGAAAGAAAUCCAGCUGGCUAAUACCCGGUUGGGAUGACGGUGCCCAAAGAAUAAGCACCGGCUAACUUCGUGCCAGCCGCCGCCGUAA
rnacentral:rRNA from 1 species